ACGUGCAGGCCGCAACACCGGAUCGACCAAAAUCCGCAACAUGAUAUCGGAAUCCGCCUUUGCGAAGCGCGGCGGCGGUGAGGUGGUGUGGGCACGCCACCGUCGGCAACGACGAGGCGAGUAGCCGAAACGGGGAGGAGGAGGAGGAAACGGAGGCGGAGGGAGGCGCGCAGGCGUCUGCGCCGAUCAGGUCACGGCGCCGCUCUGGACCCUCCGCGGUGGGAAAACAAGGAACAUCUUUGAAAGGUUGCGGAGGAACAUCGUGAGAUCUUGAUAUGCAGAUAGAUGAAGGAGAAGUGGAUAACUGGGCGGAAUUCAUCUAAGAGUUCUGGUCAUGGCUCUGCUCAACGGAACAUGGAGAUGUGCACCCUUCUUCAGAGCAACAAGCGCCUGAAGGAAAGAACCAGAAAAUUAAAUCGCGUAAUGGAGGAAGAUGUCCUUUUCAGUGUUUAUUGGCUCCUUGAAGACAAACAAGAAGAGCAAAUCCAUCCAACUUAGCAAAGAUGCAUUGUUGGAAUUGUAGGAGAGCAAAAGAAGAAUCAUUGGCAUAAGCAUGAAUAUACCACAAUGCUUUAAAAGAAGAUGCAAAAGAAAAACGCUUCAUGUUGCAUACCUGCUCGACUCCUCUAGCUGCAGGGCUCCUCCCCUCAAAGCUCCCAGCCAUUGCAGCCAGGAAAGACGCAGCAAAAGAAACGGAGAGCGAUGCCUUGCCCCUGAGCUGAGCUCAAGUUCAAACCUCCUUUGAUCAACAGUGGGAGAAAGCAAAAGAUGGCAGCAAAGUGACAGAAAGAAAGAACCACGCAAGGAAAGAAGCAAAGCAAGAGAGAGGACGGACGGACGGGGGCAGAGCUUGAGGACGGACGGAGGAGGGAGAAGAAGCAGCACCGUCACUGAAGGCGACCUGCGCAAUUCAGGGGCCCCGGAAAAGGAAACGGUGGCAAUUUUAUUAACUGCUGGGUUUAAAGAUGAGAGAGGCAGGCAGUCAGUCUUCGUUCGACACAACCUGCAGAGAGGCAAGCAUCCACGCACUGCUGUUAGGAUUUUGGGACAGCACAUGAUGGUCCGAAAGAAGAGACGAUGGAGGGGGGUAGUGAUGCAGCACGUGUGCAGCGUAGGCAGGCGCUGCCCCCGUUCUGGCCUGCACAACUGUUUGGUCACUCCUGUCUGCAAAUGAUGCCGUCUCGGUCGCUUUUGCUGACUUGAUCUUGCUGGGUCGUACUGUGAUCAGUUGUACUGCUGGUGCUGCUUUGGUCGUGUGCAUCCCCAAGGAUUUUCUGCGGUGUCCACUGAUCAGGUAGGAGUUGAAUUCGUCACCUUGUUCUCGCAAAGCUGGAAGUGAAAAGAUGGAUGGUGGGGAAGAAAAGGUAGAGAAGGCAAGUAGGCAUGUGAAAGCACCAACGAGACAAGCAUGACGGGCCAAGGGAAAAGAUAAAACUUGUCCUGCCUCCUCAACAGCAGUAAAUGUGUUGAUUUGUUCCCCUUGCAUUUCCCGUGUAGCGUCAUGGCAUUGGCAGUAACUCGUGGACGAUUUCUCUAGCGAUUGUUACCCGCUGUUCAUGCUCAAAAUGGCACCAUAAUCUUAUACACAGCCCUACUCUUGUUCUGCAGCUAUUUGCACUUGUUCUGCACCUACGGUCUCAAAAAAGGCAUAUUUGUAUGCCUCCUACACGGGUAAAAACAGGUGCAGCAAAUAGUACCAGUAAGUCCAAAUUAACCCUUUUAUUACUGUGGAUGAGACAAAAUGUAGGAGCUAGCUGUCUGCUGGCAUGUGGA